GCUCAGAUUGAACGCUGGCGGCAGGCCUAACACAUGCAAGUCGAACGGUAACAGGAAGCAGCUUGCUGCUUUGCUGACGAGUGGCGGACGGGUGAGUAAUGUCUGGGAAACUGCCUGAUGGAGGGGGAUAACUACUGGAAACGGUAGCUAAUACCGCAUAACGUCGCAAGACCAAAGAGGGGGACCUUCGGGCCUCUUGCCAUCGGUUGUGCCCAGAUGGGAUUAGCUAGUAGGUGGGGUAAAGGCUCACCUAGGCGACGAUCCCUAGCUGGUCUGAGAGGAUGACCAGCCACACUGGAACUGAGACACGGUCCAGACUCCUACGGGAGGCAGCAGUA
rnacentral:rRNA from 1 species